rnacentral:rRNA from 3 species
UCUAGCAUGUGCGCGAGUCAUUGGGACCGUACUAAACCCAAAGGCGCAAUGAAAGUGAAAGUUCGCCUCGCGCGAACCGAGGGAGGAUGGGUCCGUCNCUCGGACGGCCGCCCCGCACUCCCGGGGCGUCUCGUUCUCAUCGCGAGAAGAGGCGCACCCAGAGCGUACACGCUGGGACCCGAAAGAUGGUGAACUAUGCCUGGUCAGGACGAAGUCAGGGGAAACCCUGAUGGAGGUCCGUAGCGAUUCUGACGUGCAAAUCGAUCGUCGGAACUGGGUAUAGG